CUUCCCAGUUCACAGGCAACAAUGGGGCGUCUGAGUUUCUCCUGGCUCAAGGCACAGUAUUUCCACUGGGCAGCCAACUCUGCAUUUUUAUCAACCUGGAGACAUGAUAAGGCUGCAUAUUAGUUUACUAUCGAUGGCGCUGUCCAAGAGCGACCAUUAGUUUGGGGAAUACCUCAGUGGAGACAUCUCUGGCGGCAUGACUGAUAAUCUGUUUGGAAAAGAAGACUGCUGUAAGAAUGAAAACACAGCAUUGGACUUCAUUUUGGCUGAGAAAAUAGAUUUCAACCUCUUUACGCUCACCACACACUGCUGCUACUGUGGUUCCCAAAAUGUAGCAAAAUUAACAAAUAUAAACAUAAAAAUAUUUCUCCAUUU